AAAAUUGCACCACUGCAUGCAAGCGAAUAUUAAUUUUUUUAUGAUAUGGGACGUGAAGCAUGUUAGUAUGCAGACCAAGUCAUCAUGGUGGGAUAUAUUGCGCUAGGAUCGUCGUAUGAUAUAUAAAAAAAUGUUCUCAUCUAUUUCUUUCCAAAUUGGGUAUCCUCACAACCACAGUCCUGCCCCUGACCCUCUCAAUGUGAGUCAUAUACUACUCCUCGUCUUAGAUUUUUAUCAUUUUAACCAUAUUCAUUGACUUUAAAUAAUUUCAUAAAUUAACAAUCUAAUAGCAAAUCAUUAAAACUAUGACAACAUAAAUUAGUGUGACAGGAAAUAAUCAUAAAAAUCACAUAAAUAGUGGCAUAAGAUCCAUGCAGCACAGAACGCAUCUUGACUCUCUCUCCCCACACCUCUGCGGCUCUGCCCUGGCCUGCGUGUGUGCGAGUUUGAGGUCAGGUCUAAAAAUAUCUGCCUCAGCUAUAGCACCAGAUGCUGUCAUCGAUGGGAGGUCCCAGAGAAACUACCUUCAACCAAACCCUAAACCUCAACAACAGAGGCUCAUCAUCAUCAUCAUCAUCAUCCGCAAAAUCACUUUCAUCCACAUCUUCAACCUCAUCGCCUUCGCCAUUCUCAACCUCCUUCCACCAAUCCAUAAGAGCCACCAAAACCAUGGAAGAGGUAUGGAAGGACAUCAGUCUGAAUUCUCUUCCUGACCAAGAAACCACCCCAAGAAUCCACGAACGUCCCCACCCAACCUCCAACUUCCGCAACGUCAUCCUCCAAGACUUUCUUGCCCGGCCCUUUAGCAAAGAUCACCCGCCGGCCAGCCUAGUCUCCACUGCCACAGAGACGGCCACUCUCUAUGGCUCUGCCUCUUUGGUGUCGCCUCCAGCCACUGUUUUGAGCUUGCAUUCGGGUUCUGAAUUUCAUUUCCUUGAUAACUCUGACCCACUAAGGCCUGACUCCCAUUUACAGCCCCAAUCCAUUUCUAAUAUCUCUCCUUUCGGUAGCCCAUUUGAGGCUUUCGCAUCCCCUACGGGCUUGCCGUCUUUUGGGAAGAAAAGAGUUCCGGAAUCUGACAGCAGCUCAGGGGAUCGGCGACAUAAGCGUAUGAUCAAGAACCGAGAGUCCGCCGCUCGAUCAAGAGCUAGAAAGCAGGAAUAUAUUUCUCUCUUCUUUCUUUUCUUCUUCUUCUCUUUUUUUAUUCGCCUACACAAACGAGUUGGAACUUGAAGUUGCUCACUUGAUGGAAGAGAAUGCAAAGCUCAGAAAACAGCAGGAACAGUUAAGAGCAGCUGCAGCCGCCCCAUUUCCCAAAAAACAUUCGCUGCAUCGAACGUCAACUGCUCCAUUUUGAUAAGGCACUCCUCGGUGCAUUCCUUCUAACAAAGUCUUUCUGUUUCCCUUCAUGAGAACAUUCCCUUUUCAUUUAGCUAUAGAGGAUAUGAAAGAGAGUAUUCAAGGGUUUUCAAUAGUUUUGUGGGUGGGUGUUCCUCUGUUCCAUAUUUUAGUGGUUUUAGGAAAGAAUGAAUGUAUGAGAAUAGUGUUUUUGCAUUCCUAAGAAACAACAACUUCGUUGUGCA